UCUCUCUCUCUCUCUCUCUCUCUCUCACACACACACACACACACACACACACACACACACACGUUGGAUCGGAUCACUCUCUUGCUCUCUGUCUUACUGUGGUGGCAGUGGCAGCACAUCUCACUCAGCCGCUUUCCCUCUUUCUUUCUUUCCUCCCCCCUCCCCAAUGGAGACCCCUGGAUUUCCUCCCCAACCCUGCCUGGUCCCCACAGGCACCACGCCCCUCCUCCCUCCCAGCCCCCAGAGGACAACCACAAUGCUGAUACGGCCCUCAAUGAAAUCGAAUUUGACAUCCUGUUUUUGGAGAUCUUUUAUAUGUAUAAGUGCACUAGCAAUGCUUUUUCAAUAAUAAAGUGACACUCAAAUAUAACAUCAGUUGAAGAAAAAACCAGAAAAAUUCAGGAUAAUGUUUUAAUAAUUUCAUUGAAGUUUUAAAAUAGAAAGAAAAACUAAUACAAAUUAAGAAAAAUACCAAAAAAGAAAAGAAGGUAGAGCGAAAAAUAUGUAAAAGGAAAAAUAUAUAAAUAAAUGACCUCCCUCUUCAUCAAGAAAUGUAAAAACAAUUUUAGUAACUUGUUACCUUCUCCAACAUUUUAAUCUAAGAUCUCUUCAUCAUAUAUCUCAUAUCUAUUAGCAAAUAAUAAAACCUCAUCAUUAAAUCUUAAUCCGAAAAAAGCAGUUAAGAGCUACCAAAAAUAACUAUAUGUAUUUUAAUCUUAAAUAAGUGAAUCAAUGUCAUAUGCUGUUCAUUUACUUUACACAGUAACAUCAUUUUGUCUAAAAAUACAAGAGGUUCUCAUAUCUUAAAUCUUUAAAGUCUCAUUCAAUCAGAAAAGUUUCCAUGAAAAGCUGUCAGAAACAAUAACAUUAGAAUUUAAUCCUAUCAAAUAAGGUAUCACAAAUUAAUUUAUCAUAUUCUCUACAUCUUCCUUAGAAACGACUUUGCAAAUUUAAUACUUUUUUCAAUUUCAAAACCAUAGCGUAUCACUUUCUCUAAAAGUACAAAAAAUCUUCACAUAUCUUUUUUAUAAACAAAUCUUUAAGGCCUCAUCAUUCAGUUUUGGUUGAAAAAAAUCCAGUAAAAGCUGCUAGAAAAAAAAUCAUAUACAUUUUAAUCUUGGUUGAAUAAACUCUAUAAAAAUUCUUUUCAUUUUUAAAAUUCUUGAAGUUUAUUUCUUUUAAGUAGUGUCCCAGACUCAGAUUUCUUUUCAUUCUCUCUUUAUCUUUUUUCAGAAAUUUUUUCAUUGGUAUAAUACAUCUCAUUUAUAAAUCAAAAAUAAGAAAGUUGUCCAAACCCAUCCAAGUAACUGUUCUGAUUUAUUAUUUGUGUGUCCCUUUUAGACAAAACAUCAACUGGUUUCAGUUGGAAAUCCAGUAUAACAUCUUUGUAAAAAUUAUUCUUGUAUCUUGUAAAUUUUAAAUCCAUAUCCAAAACAGCCUGAUUCUCAGUUUUAUCCUUCUUUUGUGAACUAAUUUUUAUAGUAAUCUAGAAAAAAAGUUCUGAGUUCGUUGUUGCCAAAUAUCCUUGAAUUCUUCCAGAGUUAAAAUAUUUUUCUCCAUUCUCUAUUAGGGGCUCUUCUAAUUAUAAUUUUUAGUUCUUUCUGGUUGUGUCUUGUAACCAGCUUUCAAGGUCUCCUCUUAUCAUGUUUUUUUCUAAUCCAGGGAAAUAUUUCUUAUACUUAAAUUCAAAAUCUUCAUAUAUUUUAAUAGAAUUUUAAACCGCAGGAAAUUUCUUAUAAUUAUUUAUAAAGCACUUAUAAAAAUUAUUUCAUAAUCAUUUCCAAUCAAUCUCAAUUCUCAGUCAGUUAAAUUAAUGUUCUAAAUACCCUUAUUUCCAAAUAACAAAGUUUUUCUUUAAAUCUUAAAUUUACAAGAAGCUUCUUUCAUUGAAAAUUUCGCCAUGUAAUAAAACUUGUUCUCUGAAGGUUCUUAUCCAAAAAAGCCAUUGACAAGCUAUUUACAGUGAAAUUGAUUAAGAAAGUGUCUCUUUGAAGCAGUGAUGGGUUGCUCCCGGUUCGCACCGAUUCAGGAGAACCAGUAGUAGAAAUUUGUCAUUGGUCGCAGAACCGCUAAUAAUGGCUGGCUAGCCACGCCCUCGAACUGGACCCCCGGUUGCCUCUCGCUCGCCCUGGCCGCCAUGUUCGUCGCCGCCAUGUUCUUCACAUGCGCGCAUCCCAUUGCCUUGCAAGUCCAAUGGGAUGUGCAUGCGUGAAGAACAUGGCGGUGACAGCAGCAGCUUUUUCCAUGGCUGCGAAGCUUGCCAGGCCAGGCAGCCCCCUCCCCGCCUGCCAGCAGCUCCUGAAUCCGCCGCCAUUGCAGCUGUGGUGGGGACUGGGAAGGGUCAUCUUGCCAGACCGCGGCUUCGCCCUCCCCACCACCACUGCCCUCUCCUGCCGAGGCUGCCGCUACAUCUCCUGUCACCACCACCGCCUUUCCUUCAGAGGCACAUGGAAGAUCUAGAAGCGCCGGUCAGCUGUUGAGAGUCCAGCCUGCAGGUCCGGAGGAGAUGGCGGCCAUCCAGCGUGUCCCUGUUUCCCCGCCCCCACCCCCAAG